rnacentral:rRNA from 1 species
GAUGAACGCUGACAGAAUGCUUAACACAUGCAAGUCUUUGGCGAAGCUGUGCUUGCACAGCCUAGCCAAGGCGGACGGGUGAGUAACGCGUAAGGAACUUGCCCUGCAGUCAGGGAUAACAGACGGAAACGACUGAUAAGACCUGGUAAAGUCAGGCGGACUCAUGUCCAGCCUGAUGAAAAGAGAUGCUGCAGGAGAGCCUUGCGUCCUAUUAGCUUGUUGGUGGGGUAACGGCCCACCAAGGCGAUGAUAGGUAGCCGGCCUGAGAGGGUGGACGGCCACAAGGGGACUGAGAUACGGCCCUUAGUCCUACGGGAGGCAGCAGUGGGGAAUAUUGGACAAUGGGGGCAACCCUGAUCCAGCAAUUCUGUGUGCACGAUGAAGGUUUUCGGAUUGUAAAGUGCUUUCAGCAGGGAAGAAAAAAAUGACGGUACCUGCAGAAGAAGCGACGGCUAAAUACGUG